rnacentral:rRNA from 1 species
GCCCAGACUCCUACGGGAGGCAGCAGUGGGGAAUAUUGGACAAUGGGCGAAAGCCUGAUCCAGCCAUGCCGCGUGAGUGAAGAAGGCCUUAGGGUUGUAAAGCUCUUUCAGCGGGGAAGAUAAUGACGGUACCCGCAGAAGAAGUCCCGGCUAACUUCG